AGCGAACGCUGGCGGCAGGCCUAACACAUGCAAGUCGAACGAAGCCUUCGGGCUUAGUGGCGGACGGGUGAGUAACGCGUGGGAACGUACCCUUUGCUACGGAAUAGCACCGGGAAACUGGAAUUAAUACCGUAUGUGCCCUUAGGGGGGAAGAUUUAUCGGAAAAGGAUCGGCCCGCGUUGGAUUAGCUAGUUGGUGGGGUAAUGGCCUACCAAGGCGACGAUCCAUAGCGGGUCGGAGAGUAUGAUCAGCCACAUUGGGACGGUGACACGGCCCAAUCUCCUACGGGAGGCAGCAGUGGGGAAUAUUGGACAAUGGGCGCAAGCCUGAUCCAGCCAUGCCGCGUGAGUGAUGAAGGCCUUAGGGUUGUAAAGCUCUUUCAGUGGGGACGAUAAUGACGGUACCCACAGAAGAAGCCCCGGCUAACUUCGUGCCAGCCGCCGCCGUAAUAC
rnacentral:rRNA from 1 species